rnacentral:misc_RNA from 1 species
CGACAGCGCAGGUUCGACACCUCGUCAUACCAACAGCGUGCAGAAGCAUUAGAAGGGUUGCUUGAGUUUAGUGCACGGCUCUUGCAACAGAAACGGUUCGACGAACUUGCGGUGCUGUUGAAGCCGUUUGGACCAGAGAAGGUUUCUCCUCGAGAAACUGCCAUUUGGUUGGCAAAGAGCUUCAAGGAGACUGCAGUCUAGAGUACCUGAAUAUCGCAUGUUUAUUGCUGCUUGUCCAUAUUGACAUGUAACUUGAGAAAAUUAGG